CUCCGCCUCGCGUGGGGACGUGCGGCGGCCGCUGUCCGCCGGCGUCGCUCUCCGACGCCGCGAGGGCAGGGUGCCGAGCCCUGGGGGAAG
rnacentral:tRNA from 1 species